UACGUAGGUGGCAAGCGUUGUCCGGAUUUACUGGGUGUAAAGGGCGUGCAGCCGGGCUGACAAGUCAGAUGUGAAUUCCCGCGGCUCAACCGCGGAACUGCAUUUGAAACUGUCAGUCUUGAGUACCGGAGAGGUCAUCGGAAUUCCUUGUGUAGCGGUGAAAUGCGUAGAUAUAAGGAAGAACACCAGUGGCGAAGGCGGAUGACUGGACGGCAACUGACGGUGAGGCGCGAAAGCGUGGGGAGCAAACAGG
rnacentral:rRNA from 1 species